AUGGGCACGGGCACGGGCGCGGGCGCGGCGCCGGACCGGGCCAAGCAGCGGCGGGCUAGCGCCGGCGGCCACCUGUGGAAGAAGGCGCUGCUCCACUUCUCCCUCUGUUUCGUCAUGGGAUUCUUCACGGGCUUCGCGCCCUCCUCGCCCUCCUCCUCCUGGAAGGCCGCCACCACCCACCCGCCGCACCGCCUCGCAGCGUCCCGCGUCGCCGUCGACGUCGACGUCGACGCGCGCACCAGCCUGGUACCACCCGCCGACGCGCUCUCCUCCUCCUCCUCCGUCGCCACGGUGGACGCGGGCGACGACGCCGCCGAGGGCGGCCAGCGCCGCCUCCUCAUCGUGGUCACCACCACGCGGUCGGCGCCCGGGGCCCGGGGCCCGGCGCCGGCGCCGGGGCGAGCUGCUGCGCCUGGCCCACACGCUGCGCCUCGUGCGCCCGCCCGUCGUCUGGGUCGUCGUCGAGCCCGCCGCCGACGCGCCCGCCACCGCCGAGGUGCUCCGCGGCACCGGCGUCAUGUACAGGCACCUCGCCUUCAGGCCCGAGGGCAACCUCACCGCCGCCGGCGAGGCGCACGCGCAGCGGAACGCCGCGCUCGCGCACGUCGAGAGGCACCGGCUCGCCGGCGUCCUGCACUUCGCCGACGCCGCCGCCGUCUACGACGUCGGCUUCUUCGACCAGAUCCGCCAGAUCGAGGCGUUCGGCGCAUGGCCCGUGGCGACGGUGUCGGCGGGCGAGAAGAAGGUGACAGUGGAAGGUCCGCUGUGCAGCGCCUCGGAGGUCGUCGGCUGGUUCUCGAGGGACUUGGACGACGACGGCACCACCCGUUCGGUGGCAUACGACAGGCGGGAAGCCGACCUGGAUCCUGCCGCUGCCGGUACGCGAGCCCGCACGACGACGAUCGGCGUCUCGGGCUUCGCGUUCAACAGCUCCAUUCUAUGGGAUCCCGAGCGGUGGGGGCGGCCGGCGUCGUUGCCGGACACUUCACAGGACUCCAUCAAGUUCGUGCAGGAAGUGGUGCUGGAAGACCGAGCUAAGCUAAGCUGAGGGGAAUCCCCUCCGGCUGCUCCCAGGUCAUGGUGUGGCAGUACAGCGACAUGCCCAGCUCGUAACAGUAGAUGGCAGCCGGAUGUGAGGCGUCGCAGCCUCCUGGCCGGACGGGGAAGGGGAGGACUGGACCGGUGGAGUCGAUGUAAAUGCGGUGGGCGAUAGCAAAAGGAAAGGGAAGAAGGUUGAUUCAUCAGUAGGCCGUGUAUGCAAGAUUGCGUUUCAUUCUUCUUCCUUUGGGUCCCAUUUUUCUUUCUCUCAGUUUUUUGGUCAUCAAGUUUUGGGGCGCCAUGAAUGGUGAUGAGCUGCCUGUGCUGUGAUAGUGUUUUAUUCAGAUUCAUUUUGUGAUUCUUUAGCCUGGUCCUGUUGUGUUUGUGUGAGGCGGUGGCGGCCCAUUGUUAUUGUCGUUACAAACUUACAAUAGAUGGCCUGCCUUUGAGAGUC